rnacentral:lncRNA from 1 species
GCGGUCGGUGGCUUUGUGUCGGUGUUAUCCCUCAUAUAAGUGCUAUUUAUCUUGACUGUGUCACGAAUAACUUGCCAUUUCUUUUUUCAACUGCAUAAGUAGACCAUUUUUGAAUCUACAAAAUCAUCUUCAGACAAUCUGUUUGUAUCUCUAGUUGUUGGUUGACAGGGUAAGGCCACUUCACUUUAUCUUCAUAUCUCAUCUCAGUUCACCUUUCUCUCUCUGCACCAUCUCUUACAAAUAUUUCUUUAUGAUCUUAUUCCAAGUAUAAGAUAUGUAAAGGCUUCUCGGCCGUUGUAUCGUGGCUUUGAAAUUUCAGACUGACACCGAACAGACUAAUUCCAGCGCUGGAGUGAGAGGAAGUUGUCCAAGAAAUUUAGAAACACAUUAAAAUCCAAUUAUGUGUCACAGUGUUCAGAAAGCAGUCCUUUCAAUGCAGCUACCACCUCUUUUCCUAUAAUUAAUACAGCUGCAAAGUACUUAUAUUUUUGUGAUCCAGUGGUAAAAAACUGCUUGCAGCUUGUGGCAUUCAAACAAAUUUCUAAAUCUAGACUUAGACACAUGUUAACAUAUUCUGAAGACUGAAACUGUGAGGGACAUGCUGACACACUUCAUACACACACAAAGAAAUGCUCUGUCUUUUCAACUACUCUUUUAAUACACAACAAAAGCGAUGGCCCCCCACCAAAUAUGAUUUCCAUUCUCGGACAAAGCGAGAGACUUUCUGCCCUGUUCUCCAUCCAGUCUCUCAUAAAAAGCUGUUUCUCUCCUUCUCUUUUACCCCUCUCUCUCUCUCUCUCUCCUGUUACUCUAACCCCCUACACCCACCCACCCAUCCAGCUAACCCCCUUUUGAAAUGCGCACAGUACAUUAGAUAAAAAGAGUAUUGAGAGAGUCAAGAGUGAUUCAGGGGGUCUGUUUGAUGAGGUGGAUAAUAUGCCUCAUACUGGUGCUCCAUGACACUCAGGUCAGUGCUCUGUAGAGGGCUAACACAGGCAGCUGGGCCUGUCCACCUACACACACACACACACACACACACACACACACACACACACACACACACACACACACACACACACACACACUUCCUCCUCUAAAGCAUGCCCUGUGUCUGUAUCCAACUGGGCCAGGCUCUGAGUAUUUAAGAAACAGUACAAAACUUACACCCGUUGUGUCCAAGCUGAUCAUGCUUUUGUUAAAUCUGGAUCAGAUUAUUAUCACUCUCUAUUCACCUGUUUCAGAAACACUCUUUGAACUGGCUGUAAGAAGUCAAAAAAUACGGGAUCUGUUAAAAUUUUGUGGACCAUCAGUUUGUGGUUGAAUUACCAACCGCGCAACAACCAAAGGUUUUUGAUGUUGGUAACAGAUCCAGUGUUUCAAGCUCAAUAACUCAUCUUAAUAACCACUGAUGUUUCUAACUGGUAAGGUCCUUACACACCAGGACCGACGCAAAUAAAGAACACGAAAUUACGAAAUAUUCGGAGGCGAAUUUUGGCACGCCUGACUAUACACAUCAAGCCUGAUGCGAUUUUGAGACUUUCCAGGGGGAAAAAGACGUGUCCCGGAUUCAGUUCUGAUUAGACACUAGUGUUGAGAUGGCUGUCUGUCAUGAUAGCAUGUACUGAGUCGGGGCCAGUUCCAGAUAAGCGCAUUAAACUAUAAUCCAUAAACGUAAGGUAACAACCGAGACCUAAUGGUGCUGUGACAGCAACGUGAUUGAGUUUGAGACAGUGAAAAUACAUAUGGUAUGUUGUAUCUGAACAGGUUAGCUUACGAGCUAAAGUUACUUAGCACAGAUGAAAGUUAAAACAAAAACGUUUAGCAAACUGUUAAAGCACACAAAUAUCGUCAUAUAAGAGAUCCGCCACUAUGACUCUCCACAAGUUGUCCUUCAGGUCGUUAUCUUUGCAAUAUUUGUGUCUUUUAUCAAAAACCACUCUGUUCUCCGACAUGUAAACAAUCAGCCGGUCGGCCAUGUUGGAUAUACUGAUGAAUCAGAUGUCACAACAACACGCAAUCUGAUUGGUCAGAAGUGGACACACAGUAUGCAAAACUUUAGAAAAAUUGGCCGUGUUCCGAAAAAAUAUUCGGACAUCUGUAAUAAUCGAACAAUAAAACAGUUCCGGUGUGAAAGGACCUGUAGAGGAUCAUUUUUGCCUCUACUGAAAGAAGUCCAAACCAUUUCAGCACAGCACUGAUAAUAAAGGGCCCCAUGACUCCAGCUAUGAUCCAAGAUGGCUCAACCGAUUGAAUCCAGAAUGAAGGAGAGAGAGUAACAGGAAGAGAGGGAAACAUGAUGCAGAGGUACAAGUCAUGACGCUGAGUGUUUGUGUGUGAGAGAGAAAGAGAGAUGGGGGGGGGGGGGGGGCAGGAAGAGAGAGAGAGGGUGCAAACCGCAUGUUCAGGCAGAAUCAGGUCAUGAUAAACAGCCCCAACAGAAGACAGAAAGAAAUAAUAGAAAAAUAAUGCAGCUGGGCAUGAGUUUGUGUGUGUGUGUGUGUGUGUGUGUGUGUGUGUGUGUGUGUGUGUGUGUGUGUGUGUGUGUCUGCCUGGUUGGCUAGUUUGAGCUGCUGCCUGCCUGUUGGUGUCUUGCUGGCUGACUGGCCUUGGCUAAUUGCGAACUGGUUUAAUCUAUGUGGGCACUGAGCCAUUCACCUUGGCAUCGGCAGAUGACCGCUUCUGUGUGACGGCCUGUUUUCAUCAGGCCCGGUUAGGGUGCAGACUGUGGCACCUGGGGAAGAAUGACAGAAGUGUUACAAAUCAAUAUUUCUUGCAUUAAAAAAAGGUCAAAGCACAGAAUGGUAAAAAUAAUGGCUUUAGUUGAUAAAAUGCAAAUCUGGGCUUCUUUGGUUCAAAACAUAUAGAAAAGGGUCACUUUCCUUACUAAAGUGAGGUAGCAGAAGGGACUUGUUUUGCUGUCAGUCUAAUUCUUGAAGUAGAUGGUGAAGAAACUCUGUUAUUGUUGUUUUUUUUUUUUUUUUUAAAGCUACAUUACCAACAGUGUGGGCUGCCAAACAGAAAAAAGAACUUACUGCAUAGUGCUUUUUUAUUUCAACGAGUUGUAAACACAGACAACUGUAACAUGAAGGAGGUGAGAAACACACACACUAUAAAGGGGAAAGUUUUGUAACUUUAGAAAAAAAAAAACAUACACAGACAGUAUGGUUCACAGGAUGACGAACCGCAUCCUUAUCAGGCAUCAAAAACCCACUAAAGCAUCAUGACAGCUGACCCACUGGAGUGGUUUUUAGUCGACAGGCCAGUGUAAACAUUCAGAUAUUGAUGAUGCACCACUUUACUGCAACAAUUCACAUACCCUGUUUUCUCACUGGUGCUGAUAAGACAGUACUUGAUUAAAAGAAAAACAAAACAAAAAAAACAUGAAUUGACUUGUGCUGCGUUCCAGUUACUUUUGAAGUCGGAUGUCAGAGCUAGGAAUGACGUUACACCCGAGUUGACAGCUUUCCAGUUAACAAGUUGGAAAACCAAGAUAGACCCCUACAGUUACCCGUUGUUAGCUGUUGUUUACAAUUGUCAGCUGUCGUUAGCCGUUGUUAGCGGUUGUCGUAGCACCAUGUUCACAGUUAGACGUUGGGCAGUUCAUCUUAUACCACUUAUUUAAUUUCACAAAAAACAAAACAAAACAGAAGUGCUAAUAAAUAAUACAUUGCAAGAGCUUUCACUGUUACUCUUUACUGUUGAUGCACUGCGCUGCCCUCUUGAAUUAUGACAUUGUCGUCAAGUCAGGGUUGGUGAGAAUCGCCCAAAUUUCCAAGUAGGAAAUCCCACUUCAGGGGGGCGUUCCAGAUGAAUUUCCGACUUGGAGCUCUGAAAUUCCGACUUCUGAGUACAACUGGAAUGCAGCAUUGUACAUACAUUAAAAUAAAAGAAAAAAGACAGACAGCUGGACCUGGUAUGACAUCAGAUGAAUCAGUGAAACUCCUUCAUGUGGGUUUAUUAAUCUGUGUACUUUAGAAACUUUGGGGAAAUUGAGUUGGAAACACAAUCAGAAAAGUAGCGUAUACUGGAGGCUGUCAGCUAAUAUAGACUGUUCAGAAAAUCAGACUGUGAACUGUUAGUGUAGCCUGAGUUAAAACCAAAACAUUUUGAAAACACACUUUCUGCUUGAUCCUAUAGAGGAUCAGCCUCGUAAACCUCUUUCCAGCCUGCUGCUGUGACUCACAGAUGAAUCCCGAAAACCACUUUGUAAAGGGAGCAGACUGAGGAUUUCAGGCUCGGUGGUGGUGUGUUGUAACCAAAUGUGGAAGUGUAUGUUUAAAGAAUAAACUAGUCCUCUUUUAUGACUCCUCCAGCCUUUCAGCUGGCUCACCGCAGAGCUCUUUGGGCUCUGUGUUGGGAUGAAUAGGGACCACAGUGUCUGGAACUGGCCGCCACUUGCCUGCCAAUCAAUUUGUUUAACUCCCCAGGCGAGGGCAGUGAUUGGUGGACCCUGCACACACACUCCCUUCCUGCCAACAAAGCACCCCAUAUGCCCUCCCAGCAGGGGCCGGCCCUGGUUUUGGGGCCCAUGCAUUUAGAGACCCCGUUAUAGGAAUUUGGAGCUAAUAGGAUGAAAGGACUACCAUCAGUGAAUUGAAGCACGGAGCUAAUCAAGUGGAAUGCACAUUCAGAGUGUCACUCAUCAGUCGGCCUGCAGCUCUAUUUCACAGUCCCCACACUCACAGCGCAGCAGAGACACACACUGAACACUCUCAGAAACAUGGAGGUUAAUCCAAUUCCAGCAUAAUAAUGUGAGUUAAACAAGUAUCAUGAUAAAAUCAUUGUUCUUCAGCUGUUUCUGUGUGUCUGAAUGGCCUUUGAAUUCAAAUCUCUAAUACAUCUGAUGUUUUACCAGAGGAUAUCCCAGCAUUUCUUAACCUGGGUGAGUGAGCUGAAGGAAAAAAAUGAAAAUGAAUCAGCAUAAGUUUUUAAAUAACACCUCUGUCCCUGACUUAAGCACACUGAAGGGCUCUUCCUGUAUUUGGAGGCCUGUCACAGCUAUCAGGAGGUUCAAUCACCAAAGGAUCCUCAGCCUUUAGAGAAGUACACACCAAACAGCUACUGCAGGUGAGACUUAUUUUAGCAGACUGUCAAACAGCUGUUUCAUGCUGGGUCCUGUUGGACACCUGAUGAUAAUGAUGGGGUGUUGAUACAUAGACUUCCAUGAACAAAAUAACACAUAACAAGCAAACAAGAAGCUGGCAUCCUAAACCUCACUCAAAGCAGUGGUUUUCAACUGGUGGGUCCUGACCCAAAAGUGGGUCACGGACAUGUUCUGGAUGGGUCCCGAACAGCUGGUCAAAAAAGUAAAUAUUUAAUGCAAUAUUAAUUAGAUAUUUGAUGUUUUUGGAACAAGCAACUUCAGUUGUUGUCGUCCUCAUGUUGUCCCCUUCAUGUGCUCUGAAAUGCACUUUACUCAAUAAAACAAGAGGAUUUAUGAUAAAGAUUAGAGUCUUUAAAGGUUUUUUUUUAUAUAUAAAAUUAAAUUUGCUUAGUUUGAAUUCUGUAAAAAUGGGUCGCGACUUAAGGACCAUGGGAAAGUGUGGGUCCCAGAGUGGGACCAGUUAAGAACCACUGCUCAAAGUUUCAUAGCAGGUAUGUCACAGUUGUAAAUCUUGAAUUAUUCGACAAAACACCUGGAACGUUGUUGUCCUGUGUCUGCAAACAGCUGUGAUUAGCACAAAAGAAAACAGAUGAGGGCUGUCACAAUAUCAGGUUCUAUCCUCACUGUUAUCAUGGCCCAGAAAAUUACAAUAAGGAUGAUAUUUCUUCAUUUAUUGAUUAUUACAAAUAUAGAAAAAAAGGCUGCCUUUUGUCGUAUUGAGUAAAAGAUAAAGAUGAAGCAACAAUACCCUUGUACACUUCUAAACUUUGACCAUUUUUUCAUAUUUAAAUGUCUCAUUUUUAAUUAUGUCUCAUUUUUACCUCGUUUGUUCUUAAACACAAUAAUUAAUGCCUACAUUUUUAAUCACUGCAGUUUUACUUUGAGUUUGCUCUGUUUAUGUAUGGAUCUCUGCGGUCAACUUGUCUUACCUAACCCUGCUUACCUCAGUGUCAGCAAUUAAUUAUUUCCAAUGAUGUUCAAUGUUCAUGUUUUGUACACACCACCAGCCCUGUGACAGACUCCAGAGAUUAAACACAUUCAUGUGAUUCUGCUUUUCAGAAUGACAUUAACGCAUUAAUGUAUGAGAUCUCAGUGGUGAAUGCAACAAUGAUGAAUGUUAGAGGAUUUCCAAACAGUAAAUCCUCUCCUGACAUGUCUGCUGAUGUUGCAGGCCACAGAGCAGAGUUGUUUCUUGUUCCAUCAGGAUUUAAGACCCUUGACUAAACACUACAGUUAUGUUGUUGUGCCGGCUCAGUUGGCAAACAGUUCCACAAUUUUGCCUUAAAAAACAGAUUAAGAACCAAUACUGCCCUCUACUCUCAACUAAUUAAUUACACAGAAUUACUAUUUGAUUGUUUUAGUACAAUAUUUGUAUUUUAUUUUAUUUUUUAAGAAAGUUAGGCCUGCACAUUGAGUUUGAGGCAGUGAAAAUACAUAUGGCAUGCUGUAUCUGAACAGGUUAGUUUAUGAGCUAAAGUUACUUAGCACAGAUGAAAGUUAAAACAAAGACGUUUAGCAAACUGUUAAAGCACACUAACUAUUGUCAUAUGAGAGAUCCAACGCUAUGACUCUCCACAAGUUGUCGUUAAGGUUGUUAUCUUUGUAAUGUUUGUGUCUUUUAUCAAACAAUAAACGUAAACAAUCUGCUGGUCGGCCAUGUUGGAUAUACCGGUGAAUCUGUCGUCGCAACAACACGCAAUCUGAUUGGUCAGACGUGGACACACAAUAUGUGAAACUUUAGAAAAUCGACCAUGAUCCAAAAAAAAUAAAUGUCGCAAUAUCGCAGGACGGGAAAACGUCUCUGGUGUGAACACUUGUAUUGACAGAAUAUGGGUUUGAAAAAAAAUAUUAACAUCCGAAAUAAUCGUACGAAAAAGACAGUCCCGGUGUGAAAGGACCUUUACUUUUAAUCUGAUCCUGCGAGCAUCACCUUAAACUUUUUUCUUCUGACAGCCAGUAUAGGAGGUUCCAUUGAGAUUAUUUCAUGAUAUCUUGAGGUCAGAUUCUAGAUUUUGGAUUACUGGAUCAUCAGAUUUUCUCCUUGGGUUGUGUUCCCACAUUGGUCUUUUCUUGGAUGAUGAAGCAUCGAUGCAGCACUCUGAAGGGGAGAUUAAUCUAAUGCAGUUACUAACAAAUAAAAGUUAACCAGAGCAAAGACCAAUUUGUUAUCAGUUUCAUAUUUUAUCCCUGCUUUAAAGAUCAAUCUGCAUUUAACCAUUUAACCCAGAUUAGUGUUCGUGACAGGGUGGGGAUUUUUAAUUACGUCCCUGAAGGACAGGUUUUUGCUGACUCUGAUUGUUUUUUUUUCUUAGAAGCUUUCCGAGAAUAUUUUUUGGAUUAGUAAAAUCAAUCCAAUUACACUCUAACCUCAGAAACAUAUUGAAACCAUUGCGUCUGAAAGGAUUUCAGGACAGAUUUAUCCUCCCAAACCAUCGCUUUUACAUCUGUGGGCCAUUUGAAGCCUCUCGCUCUCCUCUUAAUCUCAAAGCUGAUUGUUUUCAUGCAACAGAGUUAUUUGGAAAUAGUUGUUAAUCUCCAUCCCUGGCUGAGUCUGUUUUGGUUCAGACAUAAUCUGCCAGAGUCUGAUUGAGCUGCAUAAUCCCUGGAUGUUGAAAUGGAUGGCCCCCGCCCCCAGCCCCUGCAGCCUCUAUUGGAUAUCUCUGUUGGUGGCAGCAGAGGUGACCCCACCCCCCUCUCCUCCGGCGUAGCUUCUCUACUGUAUGAGUCUGCCCUGGGGGCUAAACAAUAUGCUCCUAUUUUUUAAUUAUCAACAUUUAAAUCUCUGAGAUCUGCUCUGUCUGGCUAAGGAGGUGAUGUGAUGAUUGGCUUCCCCUUUCUCUCUGUUUUCUUUUUCACCCUCUCUGCAUCCACCCUCCCCAAGUGCUGCAACAGGAACUGAUUCAGGGUCAGCGCCUGGUCUCCCAUGCCGUCACGUAGCAGUGAAGGGGUGGAUUGCAUAAAAGAGCUCAGAUGGACGUCUGGAGCUGCAGUGGGACUGAGUGCAGCCGUUGGGGGGAGCAGUGAGGUGGAAGUGAUUGACAGCUGGGCUGGUCCAGGAAUGAAUGGAGGAUCAAUGACACAUAUCAACAGACAACUACAAGAUUUAGG